GGAGUUGGUAUCUCAGUGGUAGAGUGCAUGCUUUGUGUGUAUGAGGUCCUGGGUUCAAAUCCCAUCUGCUCCC
rnacentral:tRNA from 1 species